rnacentral:tRNA from 1 species
GCCUCGGUGGCUCAGCUGGUAGAGCGGCAGCCUCGUAAGCUGCAAGCCGCGGGUUCGAAUCCCGCCCGAGGCUCCA